UUUCGAUUGCAUUGAUUUCUCGACCGCGACUCGGUGGUCGAUUGUUUGCACGCCCGCUUCACUGUGUAUGUUAUCCAAGUGCUUGCAAUGGUUUUCUCCGUGUACUCCGGUUUCCUCUUACAUUCCAAAACCAUGCACGUUAAUGGUUUACCCCACCUCCUGCUUUGAAGACCCUCGUGAGGAUAAGCGAAACGGAUAAAUCCUUCUACAUUCUCUCACUCGAUUGCUAAAAGUACCUCCACGUUAGACUUCGUGACGCUCUUGAAGAAGAGAAAGUGGUUCUGGAUGGCGGCGUGUUCGCUGAGCUUCUCCAGUGACAAGUCGACACCUUUCUUGAACGUCUCCUCGAGUUUUCCGUAAGCUUCUUGCGCCUGGGUGGAGGCGCAUAACGAAGUUACUCCGACGGUGAGCAGCAGAAACAAAGCGGCCAUCUUCUCAAGUGCCGUAACGUCCCGUUUGUUUUGUGGUCGUUCUCCACCUCCUUCUCCGCUUCAUCCUCUCGUCGCCGGGAAAUCCAGCCCUCGUUUUUCCCGCCCCCACAAAUGCAUCAACAACAAAAUGUCUGAAACAAUGUGGAACUGGAACUGCUAAGCAGAGGUGGGAGGAAGUCCCAAAAUGAAACAAGUGAAACAUUCUGACACCAAUGGGCCAAGCAAGAGAAAUGUGAUCAGUCAAUCCAAGAGUAAUUCCAAUGUUGCAAGUGUUAAAUACACAGAGAACCCACAAAUACACAGAAACAAAUAUAGAUAAACCCAAUUUCUGUUACAAAGUGGUGCACAGCAGGCAGAUGCCACUUCUGACACCAAUAUGGUGAGCGAUCGACAAAUGGAUUCAACUUCUGGUACCAAUGGUGUGAAUGACAGAAAGAAAGAUAAACCCCACUUCUGAAACCAACAUAGAUCCCAUUUCUUAUACCAGUCUGGCUAGCAAUAGACACAGAUCUGACUAUUAGCAAGUGACGAAAAAAGGCAGAUCCCACUUCUGACACCAAUUUGGCAAGUGAUAAAUGGACCAAAAGUGACAUGGGGAAUAAAUAGAAAAUAACUUUUAUUUGUCAUCAACAUUUGAAGCAUCAACUGUACCAGGGAGCUUCACUAGUGGCCUCUUUGUUACAUUCUCAUCAUGGACAUGUACACAAAACACUGUCACAUCAUUCACAAGCACUACAAACAAACGUUAAAACUAAACGCGUGUGUGACCACGAAUAUGAACAAGCGGUAAAGCUGAUAAUGCAACAGCUAAAUAGUCACCUCUUUUAAUUCACGACUUCAUGGUCCCGCAGGCACUUUUUUGGUGAUGUCACCACAGACUUGAGUAACAGGACACAAUUUUUUUCUUUUUUCGAACACAAAACAAAAACAACAUUUCAAGAGCCUUAUCCUCUCGUUUGAAUUAUCAUUGUCUACGAUCGUCAUGGCGCCCAUUUCAGAACAAAUGGUGGAAUGUUGGUUAGAUGUCAGACGAAUUGUUUGGCAAGACGAAAUAUUCCUGCAAAAAAAUAUAACACGUGACGAGUGCCCUAUACUGUGCUUGAUUUCCACCCCCAUAUAUCAUAAUAUAAUAAUAAAGUGUUUUUGUCUCCCCCUGGUGGCUAUUUUGACUACAUUACCUCACCGUUAGGUCAGCUAGUUUGAUAAGCUAAGUAGCGAGCUCAGAUAGGCAAACUAGCUAGCCUUGACAAGCUUACUAGCAAGCUAAGGCGAACUAGUGUGGAAAUUUAAGAUGGCUCGAUAGAUUACCUAGCUAGGUAAGAUGGAAGGAUAAAAGUUAAGACAGAUAAACUAAGCAGUGGGACUAGCACGCAUGUAGUAACAAAGUAGCAAUCACCAAGUUUGACUAGCUAACUUGACGAGGUAACUAGUGCCACAUAAAUUAGCUUGUCAAGCUAGCUAGUCUAUGAUAAUAGACUAAGCUGUAGCUUGUUCGUAGGCUU